rnacentral:rRNA from 1 species
GGAUUUAUUGGGCGUAAAGGGCUCGUAGGUGGUUGAUCGCGUCGGAAGUGUAAUCUUGGGGCUUAACCCUGAGCGUGCUUUCGAUACGGGUUGACUUGAGGAAGGUAGGGGAGAAUGGAAUUCCUGGUGGAGCGGUGGAAUGCGCAGAUAUCAGGAGGAACACCAGUGGCGAAGGCGGUUCUCUGGGCCUUUCCUGACGCUGAGGAGCGAAAGCGUGGGGAGCGAACAGGCUUAGAUACCCUGGUAGUCCACGCCGUAAACGAUGA